AUGGUGCAGCCGGCCUCCUCCUCUCUCUCCCGCCCCUUGCUCUCACUCGCUUCAGCACCCUCCUCGCUGUUGGCUGCAUACCCAGAAAUAUCGGCGUCGUCUCAUCGUCUUCAUCGAUACGAGCAUCUCUAUCGGACCACGCGUCCAUGCCUCCCCAUCUACCGUGCUGGAGUAGCCGCCUCCUGGUUGAGGUAUCGCACUGCCACCGCUGCCGCUGCCUGGGUCCCUCCUCUUGCUCCUGCCGAGGCUGAGGUGAGCACCAUGAGGAAGAGGAUGUCAGUAGCUGAUAUAGAGAGCUCCUCGACCGGGGAAGUUGCAGUUCUGGAGGAACUCGAAGAUGUCAUUUUUCAGGAUUAUGGCAAGGAGCAGUGGUCGUUCGGGUUCUGGGGGAACGACAUGCACAGGUUAACUCCACAAUUCAGAAAUUCAGUCUUCGUAUUGACAUCCGAGACGAAGAGAAGUGCUGCAGAGACGCGUUUUAUUUCAAAGUUACGAUACUUAUAA
rnacentral:rRNA from 1 species